GCGGUUAAAGAACUGAAGAGAAUGGAGACUACACCAGGAGAGCCAACAAAUGACAACAGGGACAACUUCAUUAGUUACGUGUCAAAGGGCACCGGUAAACUGAACCAAACCUUUGCUGUUAGUAACAAGCCUGUCAUUGAGUCCAUCAUUGGCUGUUGCAUCGGCAUCAUGCGUCUGUCUCUGAAAAAAUGUGAUAUUGCUCAAAACCCAAACCCUACAUCUUUGUUUGAGAACAUCUUUGAGACCAUUCGUGUAGCUUCUCUGCUGCUGGGGCCAGACAUCAAUCAGACAAUUGUCACCAGGUCCCUAACGAGCACCAUCUAUUUGAAAACGUUCUUACCCAAAGACCUCAACAAUGCAGUUUUGGGCUCAGUGAGCGAUGGGGGAUUUGUUCAGCUACCUCCAUAUUCAGCCCUUCAGUCAAGCCUUGGAAAAUAUGCCACCGUCACCGCACAGGUACGCGUGAAUGUGUGUGAGAGAGAAGGAGAAAGUAAUUUGCAUUCAUGUUUACAUUUUAGUCGCUGUCAUUCGCAAUAUUUUUAAAAAGGAUUUUGUUAUUUUUAGAUUGCUACAUUCCCAGAUAAUCCUCAUCCCUCUGAGGACAACAUUACAGGAAGUGUUUGCGACUUGGCGCUUAUCGGUGGACUGUCUCCUGUUAGGCUGCAAAACCUGACACAGUGGUUUGAGAUCUUUCUGAGUCGUCCAAAUCCUGCACCACUGCUCAACAGUACCUUCGUGUUGACUAAAGACACCAAAUCUCUGUCUACAAUUAACAUCUCAGAUCCUCAGAUGACCAUGUUUUUCAACGUAGAGCCCAGUGCCAACGUGUCGUUGGUUCUCACUUUGGCUUACGGGUCUCCCCCCAACUCCACAAAUUUCAGGAACAAGACCACCUUGAACUCCACAGGUAACGGUCUACACCAACAGACUGGUCUCCUGCUGUGGAAAACCAAAACUC